GUAUGAAUUAGGAAAGUCCGAGCACAAUAGGGCAGGGUGCAAGAUAACGUCUUGUGGAGGCGACUCCAAGGAUAGUGCAACAGAAAUAAACCGCCACUAAUUUGUCUAUUUUUGUGUUUUUUUGAUAUUUAUAUCAUACCUCCUAUUUUUUCACAAAAAGUUUUAUAGUGGUAAGGAUGGAAAGGUGAUUUAAGAGAUUACCGGUAUCAUGGAGACAUGAUAUGCUAUGUAAACCCCACCUUGUGCAAGACAGGAAAAGUAACAGAGUUGCCCGCUCUUUUUCCGGAGUACGUCGCUUGAACAUAUCAGCAAUGAUAUGUCUAGAUAGAUGACCGUCCUAGACAGAACUCGGCUUACAGACUAAU
rnacentral:RNase_P_RNA from 1 species